rnacentral:rRNA from 1 species
GACGAACGCUGGCGGCGUGCUUAACACAUGCAAGUCGAACGGAAAGGCCCUGCUUUUGUGGGGUGCUCGAGUGGCGAAAGGGUGAGUAACACGUGAGUAACCUGCCCUUGACUUUGGGAUAACUUCAGGAAACUGGGGCUAAUACCGGAUAGGAGCUCCUGCUGCAUGGUGGGGGUUGGAAAGUUUCGGCGGUUGGGGAUGGACUCGCGGCUUAUCAGCUUGUUGGUGGGGUAGUGGCUUACCAAGGCUUUGACGGGUAGCCGGCCUGAGAGGGUGACCGGCCACAUUGGGACUGAGAUACGGCCCAGACUCCUACGGGAGGCAGCAGUGGGGAAUAUUGCACAAUGGGCGGAAGCCUGAUGCAGCAACGCCGCGUGCGGGAUGACGGCCUUCGGGUUGUAAACCGCUUUCGCCUGUGACGAAGCGUGAGUGACGGUAAUGGGUAAAGAAGCAACGGCUAACUACGUG